CAUUGCACACGUGUCUGUGCAUCGGCUAUUGCAUGUCCGUGCCAGGCAUUGCACGUGUGUGCAUGCAUUGCCCGUUGCAUGUCUAUGCUGGACAUUGCACACGUGUCUGUGCAUUGGUUAUUGCAUGUCUGUGCCAAACAUUGCACACGUGUGUGCAUGCAUCGGCCAUUGCACAUCCAUGCUGGGCAUUGCACGUCCAUGCUAAGCAUUGCACACGUGUGUGUGUGUGUGCAUGUAUUGGGCAUUGCACGUCCAUGCUGGGAUUGCACAUCUGUGCCAAACAUUGCACACGUGUGUGCAUGCAUUGGCCAUUGCACAUCUAUGCUGGGCAUUGCACGUGUGUGUGCAUACAUUGGCCAUUGCAUGUUCACGUUGUGCAUUGCGUGUAUGUGUGCACAUCAGCCAUUCCAUGUCUGUGCUGGGCAUUGCACGUGCGUGUGCAUGCAUCAGCCAUUCUUUGUCCCUGCUGGGCAUUGCAUGUAUUGCCUGUGUGCAUGCACGUAUUGGCCAUUGCACGUCCAUGUUGUGCAUUGCACAUGUGUGUGCAUCAGCCAUUGCACAUCCAUGCUGGGUAUUCUGUGUGUGUGCAUCAGCCUUUCCAUGACCAUGCUGAGCAUUGCACGUUUGUGUACAUUGGCCUUUGCAUGCUGGGUAUUGCACAUGUCUGUGUGUGUGCAUUGGCUUUUCCAUGUCCCAUAUCCAUGCUGUGCAUUGCACAUGUCUGUGCGUGUAUCAGCCAUUCUGUGUCCGUGCUGGGCAUUGCAUGUGUGUGUGUGUGUGUGUGUGUGCAUCAGCCAUUAAAUGUCUGAUGAAGAGAAGGCUCCAGGCAGACCUCAUUGCAGCCUUUCAAUACCUAAAGAGGUCUUAUAAAAAAGAUGGACGAGGACUCUUUACUCAGGUAGAUGAUGACAGGGCAAGGGAAUGGCGUUAAACUCAACGAGAACAGAUUCAAGCUAGCCCUUAGGAGGAAAUUUGUCACGGUGAGGGCGGCGAGGCCUGGCGCAGGCUGCCCAGAGGAGCUGUGGCUGCCCCAUCCCUGAGGUGCCCAAGGCCAGGCCGGACGGGACCUUGGGCACCCUGAUGUGGUGGGGGGCACCCUGCCCAUGGCGGGGGGCUGGGGGGGCUUUGAGGCCCCUUCCGUGUGCACCAGGCGUCGCCCACCCACAGGGCGUUACACAUCUGUGCCAGGCACUGUGUGCGUGUCCCAGAGCCACCCCCCCGCCCCCCCCGGUGUCCCAGCGCUGCCACCUCGCCCCCAGCCACCCCUGGCCUCUUCAGGGGGGCUCUGGGGUCAACCCCCCCCCCCAUCUCGCUGUGCUGGGUGUCGCUAGAUGGCAGCACGGCCACACGGCAUGGCCUGGGGGAGGGGAGGGCAGUGCCACCGCUGUCCCUGUGCCCCUCUUUGGGGCAGGGGCGGCCCCCCCUGGCUGCAGGGCGAGGACCCCCCCCGGUGCCAGAGACCCCCCCCCAGGGCCGGCCGAGGGGGGUCCCAAGGGGGGCAAAGCUGGCUU
rnacentral:lncRNA from 1 species